rnacentral:rRNA from 1 species
GGAAUAUUGCACAAUGGAGGAAACUCUGAUGCAGCGACGCCGCGUGAGUGAAGAAGUAUUUCGGUAUGUAAAGCUCUAUCAGCAGGGAAGAAGAUGACGGUACCUGCACAAGAAGCCCCGGCUAACUACGUGCCAGCAGCCGCGGUAAUACGUAGGGGGCAAGCGUUAUCCGGAUUUACUGGGUGUAAAGGGAGCGUAGAUGGAAUGGCAAGUCAGAUGUGAAAGGCAUGGGCUCAACCCGUGGACUGCAUUUGAAACUGCCAGUCUGGAGUGUCGGAGGGGCAGGCAGAAUUCCUGGUGUAGCGGUGAAAUGCGUAGAUAUCAGGAGGAAUACCGGUGGCGAAGGCGGCCUGCUGGACGAUAACUGACAUUGAGGCUCGAAAGCGUGGGGAGCAAACA